CCUACGGGAGGCAGCAGUGAGGAAUAUUGGUCAAUGGGCGCGAGCCUGAACCAGCCAAGUCGCGUGAGGGAUGAAGGUUCUAUGGAUCGUAAACCUCUUUUAUAAGGGAAUAGAGUGUGGGACGUGUCCUAUUUUGUAUGUACCUUAUGAGUAAGGAUCGGCUAACUCCGUGCCAGCAGCCGCGGUAAUACGGAGGAUCCGAGCGUUAUCCGGAUUUAUUGGGUUUAACGGGUGCGUAGGCGGCCUUUUAAGUCAGCGGUGAAAGCCUGUGGCUCAACCAUAGAAUUGCCGUUGAAACUGGGGGGCUUGAGUAUGUUUGAGGCAGGCGGAAUGCGGGGUGUAGCGGUGAAAUGCGUAGAUAUCACGCAGAACCCCGAUGGCGAAGGCAGCCGGCUAAGCGAUGACUGACGCUGAUGUACGAAAGCGUGGGGAUCAAACAGGAUUAGAUACCCGGGUAGUC
rnacentral:rRNA from 1 species